GCCUGGCCGCCUUUAGCCCGCCGUGCUGCGGGCAGCAGGGCAGGGGCGGCAGCAGUGCCCUCUCUUCCAGGCGCCCCGCAAGAAGAGAGGCGCUGAACGCUGCCAGCACGGCGGUGGCAGCGGGAACCGCGGGGCCAGCUGCGAGCGGCAUGGCGAGCAUUUGCCCAAGACAGAGCCCAGAUGAGAUCAGCCUCUUAGCGCUGAAAAACUCUGUAGGAACUUUUCAGUGGAUAGAACUUGAGACCAAACGAACCUACGGAUAACAAAUUUCUUCUGAGUCAGAAAAAAAGUAGCUGAAGACACCUGAGGAGAACAGCAUGGUUCUCUAGGGUUAGUGAGAGGAGGAAAGAGGAGGAGCUCCAAACGUCAGAGCUGAGAUUCUUCUGCAAGCCGUGGUGAGGACUAUAGUACAACAAACUAUUUCCCCGUAAUACGUGAAGUGCAUGCGGGGAUGCAGAGAUCCAUUCACAGCCCAUGAAAUAAGGUGCUCAUGCUGGAGUGACUGGAUUACAGCUGAAAAGCUGUAAUUUAGUGGGAAACUGGAACAGAGAGAGAAGAUAGAGAGCCCUUUCUUCCAAACUAGAACAGUUUAUCCUUAAAAGAUUACACCCCAUGAACCGAAUGACCUACACAAAACAGUUUUGGGCAGACUGUUUUGCCCGUGGGAGGGACUUGCGUUGCAGCAGGUCGGGCGGUCCCGCUACUCGUGAAACUUAGAACCACACUGGAGAAGUUCACAGAGAACUGUCUCCCGUGGGAAGGACCCCAUGGCAUAGCAAAAGAGACUCCUCCCUCUAAGUGAACUGAAGAAAGAUUUCAGAUUGUUGGCCUACGUGAGUCUGAACGAAAAUUACAAGUGCAGAUUGAAGAACAGGAAAUGAAGUCCAUGCACCAGAAAAACAUGAUGCAUGAAUUGGAAUCUGCACUUGAACAGAUCAAGUUGCAGUGUGACAGACAGCUCACUCACCAGCGCCAAGAACAUGAGAAAAAAAUACAGUUUAUAUUGAAUCAUUUCAAAGAACAAAAUAGUGAAAGUGUUGCAGAAACCCUGAAAGGGUAUGAAGUAAAAAUCCAGCAACUGGAAAAAGAUUUAUUUUUCUAUAAGAAAACCAGCAGAGAGCUGAAAAAGAAAUUGAAGGGCCUUCUUGGAGAGUCACCUGAAUAACUAUUGUCAUCCACUAAAUAAUCCAGAUGUCCAACAGAGCUAUUCCCGUGGAGGAGAAAAGAAGGUUCAGCUUCAUCACUGUUUCUGUUGUCUCAUACAUCUCAGUAUGAGAUGCAUCAGUAUAGCCUUCUUGGCCUGCUGGUGUUUCUUUUUAAGGCUCAGGCAAGACUGGUUAUUCCUCUCAAUGGAUGCUUCUGCUUCUUUCCACUCAGUGCCAUGCCUUCCUACAGAGACAUGCUGAUCACAUACAUCUACUCCCAGAGUAAAUUAGGGUUCAGCCCCUUCCCUUUAGGCACGGUAAUGAGCCUACACAUUCAUUACUGUAAAGUACA